UCCAAACUUCCCAUACCUGUGAUCUGAAA
rnacentral:piRNA from 1 species